UAGUGGCGGACGGGUGAGUAACGCGUGGGUAACCUACCCAUAAAGCCGGGACAACCCUUGGAAACGAGGGCUAAUACCGGAUACCCUUAUAGAGUGGCAUCACUGUAUAAGAAAAGGUGGCCUCUGAAGAUGCUACCGAUUAUGGAUGGACCCGCGUCUGAUUAGCUAGUUGGUGGGGUAAAGGCCUACCAAGGCGACGAUCAGUAGCCGGCCUGAGAGGGUGAACGGCCACACUGGGACUGAGACACGGCCCAGACUCCUACGGGAGGCAGCAGUGGGGAAUCUUCCGCAAUGGACGAAAGUCUGACGGAGCAACGCCGCGUGUAUGAUGAAGGUCUUCGGAUUGUAAAGUACUGUCUUUGGGGAAGAACGGUGGGUUUGAGAAUAUUGAGUCCACAUGACGGUACCCAAGGAGGAAGCCCCGGCUAACUACGUGCCAGCAGCCGCGGUAAUACGUGGGGGGCAAGCGUUGUCCGGAAUUAUUGGGCGUAAAGGGCGCGUAGGCGGAUGCUUAAGUCCGGUGUGAAAGAUCAGGGCUCAACCCUGAGAGUGCAUCGGAAACUGGGUAUCUUGAGGACAGGAGAGGAAAGUGGAAUUCCACGUGUAGCGGUGAAAUGCGUAGAUAUGUGGAGGAACACCAGUGGCGAAGGNNACUUUCUGGACUGUAACUGACGCUGAGGCGCGAAAGCGUGGNNGCAAACAGGAUUAGAUACCCUGGUAGUCCACGCCNUAAACGAUGAGUG
rnacentral:rRNA from 1 species